rnacentral:lncRNA from 1 species
UUGAAUUAUGUCCUAUAGACUUCAUGCCAAGGGCCUUACACUACUGCAGAACUAAUUGCUGCUCUCGGAGCGCCAGGGCGCGUGUGCGCGGUCUGAGCGCACGCAGCGCUGUCCAGCGCGGCCACACCGGCACGGCCGAAAGAACUGACGCACAGCACUAGACAACUAAAACACAGCAUUGAUAACUGCGUCCACUGGUCACCCGCCCCGAGGGCAAACCUGAAGCGUCAGGGACGCACGAACCACACCCUGGCCAGCGGGGCUGGCCAGGCGACAUUCCUAGCGCGCAACGAUACUCUAUAGGCACUUAUUUGCCGUGCGGUAAUCGCUGUACAGCUGUGCGUCUGGCGCUCCGAGGGGACUGCCUAAUCACCAGGUCUCCAACUGGGCCGAGCCUGCCGCCUAUAAACGAGGGACACUGAGGGCGGGGGGGGAAGUGAGAGCAACAAUAAUAAGCUCCAAUAGUGUAGGCAGAAUGCCGGAACUAUGGAGCUGUAAGCUGAAAUAGCAAAUUCGAAAUCUCAGCAAGCCAUACGGCUGCCGUACAUAACCUAGCUUAGAGGCUAUACUCGCUUUGCUCCUGCCGCAUCUAAGCUACAACACCUUCUAGGUGGGCAAGCCAACUUCUAGGUGGGCAAGUCAACGUGUCCAACAGGUAGCAGCUUCCUGUUGAGAUACUAUUUCGAAGCUCCUGCUCAGAGAGUAGGCGGGCCUAAGCGAGGUUAAGGUUUAUUUCCUGGUGUCCUCGGUAAUCGACAUAUGGAAAAGGUAGGCGCAUAAGCGGCAUUUUCUUUUAAUGUUUAGUGUUUAAUAUGUUUGUUUGUCGAUAAAAAGAGUAUACAAGCAAAAAGAGUAUACAUACCAACACUACUGUUAGGCAAAAAUUAACAGUUCGGCGGCCUUUGGCGGGCUUCGGCGGGCCAGGCAGCUACUAGGGUACUUCCCCGAAGGUACCGCCAUAUCUUUGUUUGCAGGUCUCCAUCAGGCUACCGAAACAUUGCAGUGCGUCCCGGCUAUCGGUCUGUCCCGCUCCUCUGAGCUGCUUUCCGAGCAAAGCGGCAACUGUGUCAGACAGCUAUUCAUUGGAGAGCUUGUGAUAUCGUGUAUCAUAGCAUGUUCCCUUAAUUGUAUUUAUGCAGGAUUCGUGAAAUGACAAGUCGGGUGUCGGCUUCCUCGAAGCCGGAAAAAAGGUAUCCGUACAGGCCGGUAGCUAGCGCGGCACGUGUGGCAAUUGAUGGGUAGUGUCAACGCGGUGGGAGAUGUGCUUUGUUGCAGCAGUGCUGAUGGUGUGGGAGCUAAGCUUGCACCAGCGGAAUUGUCAGCACCGCCUGCGGGCUCCACGCGAAUCGCAUCCAUCCCGGGUGCAUGCCGCAUGGACAGUGUGGCAGAC